GGCUUAAACAUGCAAGUCGAACGGGAUCCCACGGCACUUGUGUUGUGGGUGAGAGUGGCGAACGGGUGAGUAAUGCGUGACUAACCUGCCCUGCACUUUGGGAUAGCUCCUGGAAACGGGUGGUAAUACUGAAUGUUCCACAUGACCGCAUGGUGGUGUGGGAAAGUGUUUGAGUGGUGUGGGAUGGGGUCGCGUCCUAUCAUGCUUGACGGUGGGGUGAUGGCCUACCGUGGCUUCGACGGGUAGCCGGCCUGAGAGGGUGACCGGCCACAUUGGGACUGAGAUACGGCCCAGACUCCUACGGGAGGCAGCAGUGGGGAAUAUUGCACAAUGGAGGGAACUCUGAUGCAGCGACGUCGCGUGCGGGAUGACGGCCUUCGGGUUGUAAACCGCUUUUAUUCAGGAGCAAGCCGGCUUUUGGUUGGUGAGUGUACUGGAUGAAUAAGCGCCGGCUAACUACGUGCCAGCAGCCGCGGUAAUACGUAGGGCGCAAGCGUUAUCCGGAUUUAUUGGGCGUAAAGGGCUCGUAGGCGGUUCGUCGCGUCUGGUGUGAAAGCUCACUGCUUAACGGUGGGUUUGCGCCGGGUACGGGCGGGCUAGAGUGCAGUAGGGGAGAUUGGAAUUCCCGGUGUAACGGUGGAAUGUGUAGAUAUCGGGAAGAACACCGAUGGCGAAGGCAGGUCUCUGGGCUGUUACUGACGCUGAGGAGCGAAAGCGU
rnacentral:rRNA from 1 species